UACAGAGGUGGCAAGCGUUGUUCGGAAUUACUGGGCGUAAAGGGCGCGUAGGCGGCCCACUAAGUCAGACGUGAAAUCCCCCGGCUUAACCUGGGAACUGCGUCUGAUACUGGAGGGCUUGAGUAUGGGAGAGGGAUGUAGAAUUCCAGGUGUAGCGGUGAAAUGCGUAGAUAUCUGGAGGAACACCGGUGGCGAAGGCGACGUCCUGGACCGGCAUUGACGCUGAGGCGCGAAAGCCAGGGGAGCAAACGGG
rnacentral:rRNA from 1 species